rnacentral:lncRNA from 1 species
UUCCAUUUAAGUGAGGCCACUUGACCAGUUCUCCCCAGUGGGAUGUGAAUGGCAGCGAUGCAUCCUUUGUGAGCUGAGGCUUUUAAGAAGCUGGUGAGGCUUCCUAUGCUUUCUUUCUGCUUCUGCUGGCUAGAAACAAAGGACACUGAGGCCCUCGGGGGAUGGUAGAGCCACAGGAAGCACCCCGGGUCCUUAAAUCAACAUGCGGAGGAAAGCCAACGGCCAGCCAUGGAUACUUGCAUUGGACUUUUAAGUGAAUGAGAGAAAGAAGUAGAACUGUCACUCUACCUGCACAGGGCAGACAAAGCCACCUCUCUCACCAGCUGCCCCUGACCUUUGUGGACAACUGCACAUGGAAUGAAUAGAAUCCUGAAAACUUCUCAGGAGUUUAAUAGCUUCAAUGAAUAAAGAAUUUUGGUUCCAGGAAAAGGAAAAUAAACUGAAUUGAUUUGAGGAAAAAUC